rnacentral:rRNA from 1 species
CGGCGGACGGGUGAGUAACACGUGGAUAACCUACCUAUAAGACUGGGAUAACUUCGGGAAACCGGAGCUAAUACCGGAUAAUAUUUUGAACCGCAUGGUUCAAAAGUAAAAGACGGUCUUGCUGUCACUUAUAGAUGGAUCCGCGCUGCAUUAGCUAGUUGGUAAGGUAACGGCCUACCAAGGCAACGAUGCAUAGCCGACCUGAGAGGGUGAUCGGCCACACUGGAACUGAGACACGGUCCAG